UACGGAGGGUGCAAGCGUUAAUCGGAAUUACUGGGCGUAAAGCGCACGCAGGCGGUCUGUCAAGUCGGAUGUGAAAUCUCCGGGCUCAACCUGGGAACUGCAUUCGAAACUGGCAGGCUGGAGUCUUGUAGAGGGGGGUAGAAUUCCAGGUGUAGCGGUGAAAUGCGUAGAGAUCUGGAGGAAUACCGGUGGCGAAGGCGGCCCCCUGGACAAAUACUGACGCUCAGGUGCGAAAGCGUGGGGAGCAAACAGG
rnacentral:rRNA from 1 species